AAUCAUCCCAUUUGCAACAACAUGGAUGGACCCUGAGGGCAUUACGCUAAGCGAAAUAAGUCAGAGUAAGACAAAUACCGUAUCAUCUCUCAUAUGUAGAAUCUGAAAAAAAAAC